UUCAGGAUUCAGGAGGCUUCAUUUUUCUUGCGACCCAGGGCUUGGCUUCUCUGGGUGUCCCCGCCUCCUGGGGGAUCAGGGUGUGGGGCAGAGCCCCGGUGCACUUGUCCGCAGAGAGAGACCAUGUGAUAUACUGCGGAUGGCUGUGAACAUGCAUUUAGGACCUUGGAGAGAACCUGGUGCUCCAGGGAGACUCCAGUGAUGACUGUUGGGAGGCUGGUACCAAGAGACUGAAGUUUCCUCCUUCGCUAGGGCCUCCAUGAACCACCCAGCUGAUAUCAAAUAAAUCAAAGAAUGUA